AUUGAACGCUGGCGGCAUGCUUUACACAUGCAAGUCGAACGGUAACAGGCCGCAAGGUGCUGACGAGUGGCGAACGGGUGAGUAAUGCAUCGGAACGUGCCCAGUCGUGGGGGAUAACUACUCGAAAGAGUAGCUAAUACCGCAUACGAUCUAUGGAUGAAAGCGGGGGACCGUAAGGCCUCGCGCGAUUGGAGCGGCCGAUGUCAGAUUAGGUAGUUGGUGGGGUAAAGGCUCACCAAGCAAACGAUCUGUAGCUGGUCUGAGAGGACGACCAGCCACACUGGGACUGAGACACGGCCCAGACUCCUACGGGAGGCAGCAGUGGGGAAUUUUGGACAAUGGGCGCAAGCCUGAUCCAGCAAUGCCGCGUGCAGGAAGAAGGCCUUCGGGUUGUAAACUGCUUUUGUACGGAACGAAACGGCUCUGGUUAAUACCCGGGGCUAAUGACGGUACCGUAAGAAUAAGCACCGGCUAACUACGUG
rnacentral:rRNA from 1 species